rnacentral:lncRNA from 1 species
GAGUUUUGAGGAGUAUGUAUUGCUUGAAAAAUUGGGUGGGAGGGCGGAGAAUUGUUCAGAAGGCAUUGGUUAAAGCUUUCGUGAGAGUUUACCCUCCAAGACCAUGAAAUGUACAACACAAGAACUGAAAGCAGAGAAAUUACAGCAGGUUUCAAAAUUACCAUUUCCAUUUUCUACUUCCUCUUGCUGUGAAUCUCCCCGGAAUCUGAUUCAGGAUUGUUUGCAGUACUAUAUUUGUUGAUCUUUGUCACCUGCUACAUUAAAGUUUGGAAACGCAUAAAUAUCCCACAUGACGAAAAUUUGACGGUAAAAGUAGAGAAGCAAUCUUCUUUACUUAAAAUAAGCAACUAAAAGAACUUCAAUAAAAGUUGAAGAGAUAGCUUUACUAACUCAGAGAGCUCUUGUUGUAGUAAACUUGUGGUCAAAAGUUGACAGCAGCAAGGCCUUCAGAGAGUGAGAAUGAGAAGCUCUUAAGCUUUCGCAGUAUAAGCAGAGUGGUAGCUUCUGUACUUGAAAGCUUGUGUCUAGAGAUAAGUGGCUGUGAGUUAUAAAAUAAUAAGUGAUAAGUGAGUUUGGUAGGUGAUUGUUGUGGUGCAGGAUUGUUGGACUCUGACUGAAGAUGCUUCCAGGGAAAUAGACAAGAUAGAUAAUUAAUGCAAGGAGAGCAUUGCUGGCCUCAUGGUUUUCAUGAUUUUUGCAUCUUCCAAGAAGAUGCUCUGUGCUCUAUAGUACAGUUACCUUGUAGAUUGAUUUCUACAUAUUAUAUGAGAGCUGAUGGUUACAAUUAAUAUUCGAGAGUAAAAUUUAUUUACGAUGUAGAUCAAAAAGACGAUUUUAUCCAAUGAUUGAGUGCCUCAUUUCUUUUAUUGUAUGCCAGUUGGUCGUUACAAAUGAUAUCAGGGUAAAAUUUAGUUUAUAAUGUCCUAAUCCCUCAAGACUUGAAAUAGCACAUAAUAAAGUGUAACAUCUUAAAGUGUAUCUGGAAACAAAAUUGUGAAGACUCGUAGCCAAAAUAGACAAAUAUUAUAUUAAAAUACGUAAUCAUUUUCAUUACUUUCAUAAUCAAGAUCAGUAAUUGCAUUUAAGUUGGUGAAACUCCCUAAACUUGUCACUAUUGCAUGCAUACAGCCUUCAGUAAAUGGUUUGUCAUUUCAUACCUGCUCUACUUAUCAAUAGCCAAAACCUAUCGGCAGAGUUUUGUUCAUUCUUCUAUUAUUAUUUUUCCCCCCAGAUUACUGUAUGUCAAUCACUUAGAUUAAUUAUCACUGACAAGUUAACCACCUGAGGAUCAUGCAAUAACUCCCUACAAACGAGCUAAGGCCGCUGCCAUUGAUAUAAAAUGUGAAACAGAAGCAAAACUCAAAGGAGUUCCAUACCUUCAGAAACAGAAUAAUAUUAACCCAGAUGGGAACUUGCAUUAGCAUCGGAAGCAGAAGCCGACGAUUAAGGUUUAAAGAGAUCAAUGACUAAGAUGAUUAAUUGAUUAUGUAACCUAAUAGUGUCAUUACCAGGUAACAAGGUGAUCGAGAAGAAAUUUCUAACUAAAAUUCCAUCAAUAUAUGCAAGAGCUAUACUAGGAAACCUGCACUUACAUAAUGGCAUGAGCAUAAUAGAGUUUGAAAUGAGAUUAUAGACCUCAAGUAAUAUACCAAAAGGAUAACCAUCUAUUCACAUACUUGAUGUACGGGAUAGGAACCCAAAAACAAGAUAGAUAAUUAAUGCAAGGAGAGCAUUGCUGGCCUCAUGGUUUUCAUGAUUUUUGCAUCUUCCAAGAAGAUGCUCUGUGCUCUAUAGUACAGUUACCUUGUAGAUUGAUUUCUACAUAUUAUAUGAGAGCUGAUGGUUACAAUUAAUAUUCGAGAGUAAAAUUUAUUUACGAUGUAGAUCAAAAAGACGAUUUUAUCCAAUGAUUGAGUGCCUCAUUUCUUUUAUUGUAUGCCAGUUGGUCGUUACAAAUGAUAUCAGGGUAAAAUUUAGUUUAUAAUGUCCUAAUCCCUCAAGACUUGAAAUAGCACAUAAUAAAGUGUAACAUCUUAAAGUGUAUCUGGAAACAAAAUUGUGAAGACUCGUAGCCAAAAUAGACAAAUAUUAUAUUAAAAUACGUAAUCAUUUUCAUUACUUUCAUAAUCAAGAUCAGUAAUUGCAUUUAAGUUGGUGAAACUCCCUAAACUUGUCACUAUUGCAUGCAUACAGCCUUCAGUAAAUGGUUUGUCAUUUCAUACCUGCUCUACUUAUCAAUAGCCAAAACCUAUCGGCAGAGUUUUGUUCAUUCUUCUAUUAUUAUUUUUCCCCCCAGAUUACUGUAUGUCAAUCACUUAGAUUAAUUAUCACUGACAAGUUAACCACCUGAGGAUCAUGCAAUAACUCCCUACAAACGAGCUAAGGCCGCUGCCAUUGAUAUAAAAUGUGAAACAGAAGCAAAACUCAAAGGAGUUCCAUACCUUCAGAAACAGAAUAAUAUUAACCCAGAUGGGAACUUGCAUUAGCAUCGGAAGCAGAAGCCGACGAUUAAGGUUUAAAGAGAUCAAUGACUAAGAUGAUUAAUUGAUUAUGUAACCUAAUAGUGUCAUUACCAGGUAACAAGGUGAUCGAGAAGAAAUUUCUAACUAAAAUUCCAUCAAUAUAUGCAAGAGCUAUACUAGGAAACCUGCACUUACAUAAUGGCAUGAGCAUAAUAGAGUUUGAAAUGAGAUUAUAGACCUCAAGUAAUAUACCAAAAGGAUAACCAUCUAUUCACAUACUUGAUGUACGGGAUAGGAACCCAAAAACACCUGACACCAUUUGUAGACUAGAAAUAAAUCUGACGUAACGGAACACACUGAUCCUAUAACCAAGUCAACAAUUGACAGAGCUGUGGCAUCAGACUUUCUUAUGCUUAAGCCACAUAAUUUGCCUGUUUUUCUCCCUUAGUGCAACAAACAUCUCUCUGUUCUGCCUUUCAGUUAAGAUAUCAGCAGCUUUCAUGAAUAGCUCAUCGUUCUCAACAAUUUCGGGCAUCCCCUCUACCAUUUGCAUCACUUCCCCAAUGCUACAACCCGGCUUAUCUAUCCCCUUAAAACUCUUCUUUGCUACAGCAUCUAAAAGAACAUCUAAUUGUUGAGAUACUUUAAGUUCAGCUUCUUCUGAAACUUGUAGUCUUUUUUUCCCUUGUGCAGAAACAACAGCAUUAUGUGAAGAAGUGUCAGCAAUUCCAACUCCUUCAGAAACAUCUUUCAAUUUUUCUUGUGUAGAAACAACAGCAUUGCGAGAAGAAUUGUGAACCCCAACUCCUUUUAAAACAAAUUCUCUCUUUUGCUCUUGUGUGGCAACAACAUCAUUAGGGGAAGAAGUGCUUUCUUUCUUUUUUCCUCGUGUAGAAACAGCAAUAUUACGUGACGCAGCAUCACCAACUCCAACUCCUUGAGAAAGAAGUUCUGUCUUUUUUACUUGGGUAGAAACAACAGCUCUACGGGAAGAAUUUUGAGCAACUCCGACUCCUUUUGAAACUUUUUGUCUCUUUUUCUGUGGUGCAGAAACAACAGUGCUGCCGUAAGAUGUGUCGUCAUCAGUACUACAUGAUUCCUCGACCAUAUAGUUGAGAUAUUGAUACAUAAUUAUCGGUAAUGUAAUCAAAUCAAUUAAAUCAUCAUCACUAUCAGUAGAUGAACUCAUAUCUGUAAAAUUAAAAAAAAACAUUAUUAUAGACAUAUCAAUUAAAAAAUUCAGUCACUCAAAUUCAAGAUUAAGAAAUUGACAGAACAUUUUAAUAAAAUUGACAAUUUUUAUAUACAUUUGACUCGUAAAUUUCAAUCACCCAAAUUAAAGAUAACAAGGAAAAUGAAAAUAAGCUGCAUGGCCUACGAUAGUCAAUGCUGAGACUCGUUGAAGACUUUUGCUCUGCAAAAUUUCUAGACAGGGUUGUCAAUACCCGAAUGUUUAGUUUCUAAUCGGUAAAUGACUUGGUGGAUAAAUUUAGGCUGUUUCAACAUUCAAUCUUCCAAUAUAAACUAUGAAUCCAUCUUCGGAAUUUCAAAUCAUGGUAAAAAAUUUCUAUAAAUGAACAAGCAUUGACACAAUGGAAGGCGAUCAAGAACUACGUUUUAUAACAAAAACACUCAAAGAUUCUCAUACAUUGUUUCAAUUUCUUUACUUUUUUCACCUUUCAAUUAAAAUGCAUACCAUCUGAUGAGACCAAUUCAUUUGUUUUAUAGAACAGAACAAAACCUUGCAAAAUGAAGAUCGAAGCAGAACCAUGCCGGGGCACAUCACUAACACGAAUGUGUUUCAAUUUGCAUUUGAAACAACAGUUGACAAAGCAGCUGUAAAACUGCUUUCCCGAAGAAGCGCUACCAAGAGCUUUUAGUCAAAAGUGCUUUCUAAAGAAGGCACAUUCUCAGGCCCAAAUGCUACCUAAAUCUAAUAAUAAUAAAAAAGAAGACUCAGACAAUAAAAACACAUUCGUGUCAGUCACCAUAUCGCUGUUUGGUCGAAUAAACAAUAAGAACCAUUUUUAUACAAGCCCUGGUAUUUUUGUUUUAUAAUUUCACGAUAAUUUGAAAUGACUGCAUCAGGGAAAAAAUAAAUAAUUUUUCUGCGGAAACCCUAGCACUGACCUUCUUGGUAAUUGAGAUAGCGGCUGCGGUGGCGGGAGUUGUAAGCAGAAGAUAAUAGAAAAGGCUGAGAAAUGUUUUCAGGCUCAGGAAUGAGUGAUCUUGUAAAGCCAAGCAUUCACCCAGAGUUCCCUAGAGAAGAUAAUUAUCAAGUUAUCCCCGUAAUUUACAAAAAUUACAAAUAUGACUCUAAAUUUAAUAUGUACCGAUAUUUAAAGUCAUUUUUACAUUUUACUAAUGUGAACACUAUUAGAACCAUUGAUAUUUAAAAAUAUUAUUUGAGCCUCCGAUUAAAAUAAAUAAUCUCAUUUAAUUUAUAAAUAAUUUAUUAUUUAUUUUUCCUCUAUAUCUCUUAAGUUUACUAACCAUCUCUAUAAAUUAAAAAAUAUAAAAUAGUUUGCUAAUCUUUUUUUUUUUAAUCAAAUUUUCUUAUAUAAAAAACAAAGACAAACCGUAAACAAUUUUAAUUAAUAAUUUUCACCUCAUCAAGUUUUAAGUUUCAAAAUUUGAAAUAACUAAUCAGUUGUGUGUGUGUAUAGGCUGGUUUUAAUUUAACUAUUAACUUUGCUAUUAGUUUGAUAUACAAAAUUAUUAGUUUUAACUCGAGGAUAAACUUGCUUGGUUGUUAGGUUGAACUACAAUCGAACUUAACCCAUAAAAAAUUCUUUGAAAAUACUUUGUUUUAUGAUUCUUUUAUAAAUAAAUGUUAAAUUGUCUCUUCUCUCUAGGUCAUCAAAUUAAAUCCACUGUUAAAAUAAAUUGACUUACUGAUAAAUGCUUUUUUUUAAAAAUUUUUUUGAAACAAUCUUUAAUUACAGUUUACUAUGGUCAACGAAACUGGGGGACGAUAGAUGAGUUUGAAAAAUAUGUGGACGUUUUAGUGUUAUGUGAAUAAAUAGUGGUGGCGCAAUGAUUUUUUAUUCUGUUCAAGUUCAACGGCAUAUCGGAAAAUGUUAAUGGAUGACAUGUCGUUUGUACUUUAACUUUCAGAAGUUAAGAAGUAAAAAAUGAAAAACAAUAAAAGUGCAAUCAAACAGAGCGCCUGCAUCGCAGUGAAGGAGAACUGGGGAGCAUCUUGUUCCAAGGUCUUUUCAACCUUGAAGACAGUGACUGUUUCCGGAACAGGAACAAUAUUGAUUUUGUAAGCAAGAACAACUCCAAAGCUGGCUCCCCCUCCUCUGAUAGCCCAAAAAAGAUCCUCCCCCAUGGAGUUUCUGUCGAGUAUUCUGCCAUUAACAUCCACGAGCUUUGCGUCGACAAUGUUAUCGACUGAUAAUCCAUAUUUCCUCAUCAUAUUUCCAUACCCUCCUGCACUGAAGUGGCCGCCAACACCAACUGUAGGACAAACCCCUGCUGGAAAGCCAUGAGUUUUGCUUUUCUCCGCUAUUCGAUAGAAGACUUCACCUAGAAUUGCUCCAGCCUGAACCCAAGCAGUCUCACUUUCUAUAUCGACAUCAAUGGAGCGAAGAUUGAACAUGUCAAGGAUGAAGAAUGGGAUAUUGGACACAUAUGAUAGUCCCUCAUAGUCGUGUCCCCCACUUCUAAUUUUCAUUUGCAGGUUGUGCUUUUUAGCACAAAUUAUGGCAGCUUGGACAUGGGAUUCAUGCAUUGCAGCCACAAUAAGCACAGGCUUUGGAGUUGAGGAUGUGUUGAAGCGAAGAUUUCGGAUGUAUGAUUGCAGUACAGAUGAAUAUGAAGAGUUUUGAGGAGUAUGUAUUGCUUGAAAAAUUGGGUGGGAGGGCGGAGAAUUGUUCAGAAGGCAUUGGUUAAAGCUUUCGUGAGAGUUUACCCUCCAAGACCAUGAAAUGUACAACACAAGAACUGAAAGCAGAGAAAUUACAGCAGGUUUCAAAAUUACCAUUUCCAUUUUCUACUUCCUCUUGCUGUGAAUCUCCCCGGAAUCUGAUUCAGGAUUGUUUGCAGUACUAUAUUUGUUGAUCUUUGUCACCUGCUACAUUAAAUUUUGGAAAGGCAUAAAUAUCCCACAUGAUGAAAAUUGGACGGUAAAAGUAGAGAAGCGGUCUUCUUUACUUAAAAUAAGCAACUAAAAGAACUUCAAUAAAAGUUGAAGAGAUAGCUUUACUAACUCAGAGAGCUCUUGUUGUAGUAAACUUGUGG